rfam:Homo sapiens chromosome 7, GRCh38 reference primary assembly.
GCUGGGCGUGGUGGCGCAUGCCUGUAAUCCCAGCUACUCGGGAGGCUGAGGCAGAAGAAUCACUUGAACCCGGGAGGUGGAGGCUGCAGUGAGCCAAGAUUGGACCACUGCACUCCGGCCCGGGCAACAGAGCGAAACUCUGUCUCAA